GGCGACGUAGCCAAGUGGUAAGGCAGUGGUCUGCAAAACCAUUAUUCACCGGUUCGAAUCCGGUCGUCGCCUCCA
rnacentral:tRNA from 1 species